rnacentral:rRNA from 1 species
GGGGAGGGCGGGGGGCAGGCCUAACACAUGCAAGUCGAGCGGAUGAAGGGAGCUUGCUCCUGGAUUCAGCGGCGGACGGGUGAGUGAGGCCUGGGAAUCUGCCUGGUAGUGGGGGAUAACGUCCGGAAACGGGCGCUAAUACCGCAUACGUCCUGAGGGAGAAAGUGGGGGAUCUUCGGACCUCACGCUAUCAGAUGAGCCUAGGUCGGAUUAGCUAGUUGGUGGGGUAAAGGCCUACCAAGGCGACGAUCCGUAACUGGUCUGAGAGGAUGAUCAGUCACACUGGAACUGAGACACGGUCCAGACUCCUAAGGGAGGCAGCAGUGGGGAAUAUUGGACAAUGGGCGAAAGCCUGAUCCAGCCAUGCCGCGUGUGUGAAGAAGGUCUUCGGAUUGUAAAGCACUUUAAGUUGGGAGGAAGGGCAGUAAGUUAAUACCUUGCUGUUUUGACGUUACCAACAGAAUAAGCACCGGCUAACUUCGUG